UACGUAGGGGGCAAGCGUUGUCCGGAAUUAUUGGGCGUAAAGAGCGUGUAGGCGGUCCGAUAAGUCCGCUGUGAAAGUCCAGGGCUCAACCCUGGGAUGCCGGUGGAAACUGUCGGGCUAGAGUCCGGAAGAGGCGAGUGGAAUUCCUGGUGUAGCGGUGAAAUGCGCAGAUAUCAGGAGGAACACCAAUGGCGAAGGCGGCUCGCUGGGACGGUACUGACGCUGAGACGCGAAAGCGUGGGGAGCGAACAGG
rnacentral:rRNA from 1 species